rnacentral:pre_miRNA from 1 species
ACUGUACUCCUCCAUCCGGAAUUAUUGGUCGUAGAAAUGGAUGUAUCUAGACGUAUUUUUAGUUUUAGAUACAUCCAUUUCUAUCUAUUUUGCGACAAGUAAUUCUGGAUGGGGAAGUACUAG